rnacentral:rRNA from 1 species
GAACGCUAUCGGCGUGCCUAAUGCAUGCAAGUCGAACGGGAGGGGUCGAUUUCGGUUGACCCCGAGAGUGGCGAACGGGUGCGUAACACGUAGAUGACCUACCCUGGAGAGGGGGACAACCACGGGAAACUGUGGCUAAUACCCCGGAUGACUGGAGGAUUAGAGGCCUCUGGCCUAAAGGCUCCGGCGCUCUGGGAGGGGUCUGCGGCCCAUCAGCUAGUUGGUAGGGUAAAGGCCUACCAAGGCGAAGUCGGGUAGGGGGCGUGAGAGCGUGGCCCCCCACACUGGUACUGAAAGACGGACCAAAUACCUACGGGUAGCAGCAGCAAGGGAUAUUGCGCAAUGGGCAAAAGCCUGACGCAGCACCGCGCCGUGGAAGAACAAGGCCUUCGGGUUGUAAACUCCUUUUCUGGAAAAUAAAGGCUUGUCAAAGGGCAGGCUUGAAGGUCCUCAGGAAGAAAAACCGGCUAACUACGUGCCAGCGCCCGCGGUAAAACGUAGGGUCCCAGCGUAUCCGGAAUUUACUGGGCCAAAGGGGGGGAAGCCGGCUAAGAAAUCGGACCUAAAACUCCCCGGCCCCAUUGGAGAAAACCGUUCGAAACCCUUGACUAAGGGCUAUAAAAGGCAUGGGAAUUCCGGGGUGGUGGGGAAACCGAUAUCCGGGGGAGACCAAAGAAAAGGGUUGUGUUACCUAA